UGUUGUUUGUUUGUUUAUUUUGUUUUUUUCUAUUUUGCAGCUGGAUCAUCUCAAAGUGUUCUAACAGAGCAUCUCCCAUUGGUUUCUGGGGCCAGGGCACAUCACAGUUUCCAGCCCCAUUUACAAUGCUGCUAUGGGCCAGCACAGAUGACUUCCUGGUGGCAGGAACAAUGCUAAAAUGGGGCUCUUAGUUAUUGAGCAUUUGUUGGCUGGAUAAACUGUCUCAGAGUGAGAUCACGUCCUCACUCAUUCUGGAGUCUGUCUCCAUUGGUGAGCACCCAGAGGAACCAAGGUCAUCCCCCAAGCAAGGGGAUGUCCUCAGUAGAGGUCUUGCCAGGAACUGCUACCCAGUUUGCUAUCUGCCCCUUCUUGCUCCCUCCCUCUGUCCCAUAGCUGUGGUUCCCAAGGAUGUGCCCUUGUAAUACAGCAGGAAUUGGACUCCCAGCACCCAUGGGAGUAGUUGGAGAACAAGAGGAGGCAUAGUCAAUCAACCAAUGACAUCAUCCCCAGGAGAACUUUUCUCUGACCAUUCUUUUCCAAGAGGCCAUGAAGACCACUUAUUUCUGUCUACAUCUUCCUUCAGCCAAGCUAUAAAAGGACACACAGUAUAUCAAGUGACUUGAAAGAAGACAUCCUAGCUAUGGUGACUGGAGUCUGGUCACCAUCCAUUCAAAGGUGAGAUCCUAGGAUCACAUGUUUUAACCCACACCUUCUGCACUGGUCUCCAUUCCCCCAUUCUCAGGGAUUACCUGCUGUCCUCAUUACAGGGGCUUCCUAUCUUAGCCUAACCCCUACAGUGCACUUUGAUUUAGAGAAAAAUUGCAACCAGGACAACUUUUCCCCAAUAGUCUGAAUUUAACUUAAAGUUUUCUCAUGAAGGAUGAAUUUCCUGCUGCUUUUCAAUAAAGCAGAAUGUGACUGCGGCAGGUGGGGACACUUCCAUGACAAUAGGAAGGUUCCAUAAAUUAAUGUGUGGAAGAGAAAUCUGUAUUCAUCCUGGCUCAUCUAAGUGGGUUAGAUGAAUGGAUCCAACAUAGGUGGACCUGGGUGGUGGGGACAGGGUGGUGAGCAGGAUAACUGUGUGUACAUGGACAGCAUAGAAAGACCUGGAAGGCAGGAAUAACUUCAGAGAGAGCCUGGGAACAGGGCCAAAUUCAUCCUCAGCUGAGGCUGUG
rnacentral:lncRNA from 1 species